ACUGAGCACCUUGUGACCCCCGCCCCUGCCCACCAGAGAACAACCCCCUUUGACUGUAAUUUUCCAUUACCUUCCCAAAUCCUAUAAAACGGCCCCACCCCAUCUCCCUUUGCUGACUCUCUUUUCAGACUCAGACCACCUGCACCCAGGUGAAAUAAACAGCUUUAUUGCUCACACAAAGCCUGUUUGGUGCUCUCUUCACAUGGACAUGCAUGAGAUUUGGUGCCGUGACUCGGAUCAGGAGACCUCCCUUGGGAGAUCAAUCCCCUGUCCUGCUGCUCUUUGCUCCGUGAGAAAGAUCCACGUACAACCUCAGGUCCUCAGACCAACCAGCCCAAGAAACAUCUCACCAAUUUCAAAUCUGAUCCCCAGCCAUAUGGAGACAUCCUAGCUGGAUGAUCAGUUCUUGUUAAGAAUCUGACCCCUCAAACUCUACAACCUCGAUGGACCGGAUGCUACCUCGUCUUCUAUAGUACCCCGACUGCCGUCUGCCUGCAGGAUCCUCCCCACUAGGUUCACCAUUCCAGAAUAAAGCUGUGUCCAUCGGACAGCCAGCCUAAUCCCUCCUCUUCCUCCUGGAAGCCGCAAGUACUCUCCCCUACUUCCCUUAAACUCACUCAUAUUUCUGAAGAGCAGUAAUAACCCUUAUGAGCCUAAUACAUCCCUUCAUUCUAUUAGGUCUGUUCGUCCUUACCCUACUUUUUGCAACAGGGCUUUACGAAGUCACCCCAACCACUUAGGCCGAGCCCAAAAAAACUAGUCAUCCCUACUAUCUUCUGUCUGGUCAUACUCCUAUUCUCCAUUCUCAACUACUUAUAAAUGCCCUACUCUUCUUUACACCGCCGGUUUACACUGUUUCUUCAAGCCAUCACAGCUGAUAUCUCUUGGUGCUAACCCCAAACUGCCACUCUUAACUCCCUCUUAGAGUGGGUAGAUGAUCUUUGCUGGCAAGGCACCCUCCAAUACUUCCACCCUGAUGAAGUUCUAUUCUUUACUUUUAUACUCACUCUUAUUCUCGUUCCCAUUCUUAUGCCACCCUCUACCUCUCCCCAGCUAUCUCCACCACACUAUCAACCUUACCCAUUCUCUCCUAGCCACUUCUAGUCCCUCCUUAGUGAACAACUGCUGGCUUUGCAUUUCCCUUUCUUCCAGUGCCUACACAGCUGUCCCCGCCUUACAGACAGACUGGGCAAUAUCUCCCGUCUCCCUACACCUCUGAACUUCCUUUAGCAGCCCUCAUCUUUACCCUCCUGAAGAACUCAUUUACUCUCUAGACAGGUCCAGCAAGACUUCCCCAGACAUUUCACAUCAGCAAGCUGCCGCCCUCCUUCGCACUUAUUUAAAAAACCUUUCUCCUUAUAUUAACUCUACUCCCCCCAUAUUCGGACCUCUCACAACACAAACUACUAUUCCUGUGGCCGCUCCUUUAUGUAUCUCUCAGCAAAGACCCACUGGAAUUCCCCUAGGUAAUCUUUCACCCUCUCGAUGUUCCUUUACUCUUCAUCUCCGAAGCCCAAUUACACACAUCACUGAAACAAUUGGAGCCUUCCAGCUCCAUAUUACAGACAAGCCCUCUAUCAAUACUGAUAAACUUAAAAAUGUUAGCAGUAAUUAUUGCUUAGGAAGACACUUACCCUGUAUUGAACUCCAUCCUUGGCUACCUUCCCCUUGCUCAUCAGACUCUCCUCCCAGGCCCUAUUCUUGUUUACUUAUAUCCAGCCCCGAAAAUAACAGUGAAAGGUUGCUCAUAGAUACUCAAUGUUUUCUCAUACACCAUGAAAAUUGAACCUCCCCCUCUACGCAGUUACCCCAUCAGUCCCCAUUACAACCUCUGACAGCUGCCGCCCUAGCUGGAUCCCUAGGACUCUAGGUACAAGACACCCCUUUCAGCACUCCUUCUCAUCUUUUUACUUUACAUCUCCAGUUUUGCCUUGCACAAGGUCUCUUCUUCCUCUGUGGUUCCUCUACCUACAUGUGUCUACCUGCUAAUUGGACAGGCACAUGCACACUAGUCUUCCUUUCCCCCAAAAUUCAAUUUGCAAAUAGGACCGAAGAGCUCCCUGUUCCCCUCAUGACACCGACAUGACAAAGAAGAGUUAUUCCACUAAUUCCCUUGAUGGUCGGUUUAGGACUUUCUGCCUCCACUAUUGCUCUCAGUACUGGAAUAGCAGGCAUUUCAACUUCUGUCUCGACCUUCCGUAGCCUCUCUAAUGACUUCUCUGCUAGCAUCACAGACAUGUCACAAACUUUAUCAGUACUCCAAGUUGACUCUUUAGCUGCAGUUGUCCUCCAAAACCGCCGAGGCCUUGACUUACUCACUGCUGAAAAAGGAGGACUCUGCAUAUUCUUAAAUGAAGAGUGUUGUUUUUACCUAAAUCAAUCUGGCCUGGUGUAUGACAACAUAAAAAAACUCAAGGAUAGAGCCCAAAAACUUGCCAACCAAGCAAGUAAUUAUGCUGAACCCCUUAGGCACUCUCUAAUUGGAUGUCCUAGGGCCUCCCAAUUCUUAGUCCUUUAAUACCCAUUUUUCUCCUUCUUUUAUUCGGACCUUGUAUCUUCCAUUUAGUUUCUCAAUUCAUCCAAAACCGUAUCCAGGCCAUCACCAAUCAUUCUAUACAAGAAAUGUCUCUUCUAACAUCCCCACAAUAUCACCCCUUACCACAAGACCUCCCUUCAGCUUAAUCUCUCCCACUCUAGGUUCCCACGCUGCCCCUAAUCCCGCUUGAAGCAGCCCUGAGAAACAUCGCCCAUUCUCUCUCCAUACCACCCCCCAAAAAUUUUUGCCACCCCAACACUUCAACACUAUUUUGUUUUAUUUUUCUUAUUAAUAUCAGAAGGCAGGAAUGUCAGGUCUCUGAGCCCAAGCCAAGCCAUCGCAUCCCCUGUGACUUGCAUGUAUACGCCCAGAUGGCCUGAAGUAACUGAAGAAUCACAAAAGAAGUGAAAAGGCCCUGCCACGCCUUAACUGAUGAUAUUCCACCAUUGUGAUUUGUUCCUGCCCCACCUUAACUGAGUGAUUAACCCUGUGAAUUUCCUUCUCCUGGCUCAGAAGCUCCCCCACUGAGCACCUUGUGACCCCCGCCCCUGCCCACCAGAGAACAACCCCCUUUGACUGUAAUUUUCCAUUAUCUUCCCAAACCCUAUAAAGCGGCCCCACCCCUAUCUCCCUUCGCUGACUCUCUUUUCAGACUCAGACCACCUGCACCCAUGUGAAAUAAACAGCUUUAUUGCUCACACAAA